rnacentral:rRNA from 1 species
GACCUAACGCCGGCCGCCAUGCGCAAAGGUCUAUCCUCCCUCAUCAUCCUCACGACGUGGUGGCUCUGGAAACACCACAAUGCAUGCGUCUUCGACGGAGCUACUCCUUUGCUCACCCUCAUCACCAACACCAUCAAGGACGAGGCGUGCCUAUGGGCCAAGGUGGGCGUCAAAGGGCUACACAACAUCAUCUCCGGCGCAUAG